AGGUUGGGAGUUGGCGUUUUGCGUGAAUGGUGCCGGACAUGAAUGCAGUGUGGCUUUUGAUGGCUUCUGAUGGACAGUUUCGUGUUGAAGGGGCGGAAGUGGCUGGCAAGAUCCUGAAGUUAAACACCCUGGCUAUGGGCAGGCAGGCAUUACACAGAAUUAGCUGGAAGUUGGAGGGGUGGACUUGAGUCUUUAACAUGUCUGGACAGACCAAUUAUGGGCUUACAGGCCCCUAUCAUGGAUGGCUUGCUUGGGGUGCUGAGUUUGAAGAACUUUUUAUAUAAAGGUAUGAAGAGUUGGGGCAGCUUACAAGGCCUGGAACACGGGGUGUUUAAGCCAAGGCCGACUUGUCAACCUGAAGAUUUAAAGGGCAGUUACGAGAGCAGCAGUCCAGUUAUGAGAGCAGCUUAACAGUUAAAAGGCACCUGAAUGGAUGCUCAUGGGAUAGAAGAAAUUAUCAAUUUCAAUAAAUUCUUAGGAACCAUCUGAUCAA